rnacentral:rRNA from 1 species
UACAGAGGGCAGCGAAAGGGUGACCUGGAGCUAAUCCUCAAAAGCCGUCUCAGUUCGGAUUGUACUCUGCAACUCGAGUACAUGAAGUUGGAAUCGCUAGUAAUCGCAGAUCAGCAUGCUGCGGUGAAUUACCGGUUCCCGGGCCUU